AUUGAACGCUGGCGGAAUGCUUUACACAUGCAAGUCGAACGGCAGCACGGGGGCAGCCCUGGUGGCGAGUGGCGAACGGGUGAGUAAUACAUCGGAACGUGCCCGGUCGUGGGGGAUAACGUAGCGAAAGUUACGCUAAUACCGCAUACGAUCUGAGGAUGAAAGCGGGGGACCUUCGGGCCUCGCGCGAUCGGAGCGGCCGAUGUCAGAUUAGGUAGUUGGUGGGGUAAAGGCCUACCAAGCCGACGAUCUGUAGCUGGUCUGAGAGGACGACCAGCCACACUGGGACUGAGCCACGGCCCAGACUCCUACGGGAGGCAGCAGUGGGGAAUUUUGGACAAUGGGCGCAAGCCUGAUCCAGCCAUUCCGCGUGCAGGACGAAGCCCUUCGGGUUGUAAACUGCUUUUGUACGGAACGAAAAGGCUCUGGCUAAUACCUGGGGCUCAUGACGGUACCGUAAGAAUAAGCACCGGCUAACUACGUG
rnacentral:rRNA from 1 species